rnacentral:rRNA from 1 species
ACUCAAAGGAAUAGACGGGGGCCCGCACAAGCAGCGGAGCGUGUGGUUUAAUUCGAGGCUACACGAAGAACCUUACCUGGGCUUGACAUGGUGCUAGUAGGGAAGCGAAAGCGGACCGACCCGCAAGGGAGGCAUCACAGGUGCUGCAUGGCUGUCGUCAGCUCGUGCCGUGAGGUGUUAGGUUAAGUCCUGUAACGAGCGCAACCCUCGGAGCCAGUUACACGUUGUCUGGCUCGACUGCCCGUGACAAGCGGGAGGAAGGUGGGGAUGACGUCAAGUCAGCAUGGCCUUUAUGUCCAGGGCUACACACACGCUACAAUGGCCGGUACAAUGGGCAGCCAAGCCGCAAGGCGGAGCUAAUCCUGCAAAGCCGGUCACAGUUCGGAUUGUGGGCUGCAACCCGCCCACAUGAAGUUGGAGUUGCUAGUAACCGCGCGUCAGCCAUAGUGCGGUGAAUACGUUCCCGGGCCUUGCACACACCGCCCGU